rnacentral:rRNA from 1 species
AGAGUUUGAUCCUGGCUCGGGAUGAACGCUAGCGGCAGGCUUAAUACAUGCAAGUCGAGGGGCAGCGCGGGUAGCAAUACCUGGCGGCGACCGGCAAACGGGUGCGGAACACGUACGCAACCUUCCUUUAAGUGGGGGAUAGCCCAGGGAAACUUGGAUUAAUACCCCUUAACAUUAUGAGAUGGCAUCAUUUUAUAAUUAAAGCUCCGGCGCUUAAAGAUGGGCGUGCGCCUGAUUAGGUAGUUGGCGGGGUAACAGCCCACCAAGCCUACGAUCAGUAACUGGUGUGAGAGCACGACCAGUCACACGGGCACUGAGACACGGGCCCGACUCCUACGGGAGGCAGCAGUAAGGAAUAUUGGUCAAUGGACGCAAGUCUGAACCAGCCAUGCCGCGUGGAGGAUGACGGCCCUCUGGGUUGUAAACUCCUUUUAUCUGGGAAGAAAUGCAGUUUUUUUAGACUGUUUGACGGUACCAGAGGAAUAAGCACCGGCUAACUCCGUGCCAGCAGCCGCGGUAAUACGGAGGGUGCAAGCGUUAUCCGGAUUCACUGGGUUUAAAGGGUGCGUAGGUGGAAUGGUAAGUCAGUGGUGAAAUCUCCAAGCUUAACUUGGAAACUGCCGUUGAUACUAUCAUUCUUGAAUUAUCUGGAGGUGAGCGGAAUAUGUCAUGUAGCGGUGAAAUGCUUAGAUAUGACAUAGAACACCGAUUGCGAAGGCAGCUUGCUACACGAUCAUUGACACUGAGGCACGAAAGCGUGGGGAUCAAACAGGAUUAGAUACCCCGGUAGUCCA